UGACCUCGGAUCAGUAGA
rnacentral:rRNA from 1 species